rnacentral:rRNA from 1 species
GAUGAACGCUAGCGGGAGGCCUAAUACAUGCAAGUCGAACGGUAACAGGGUAGCAAUACCGCUGACGAGUGGCGCACGGGUGAGUAACACGUACACAAUCUGCCUUAUACUGGAGCAUACCCCCAAGAAAUUGGGACUAAUUCUCCAUAACAUAUUGAAAAGGCAUCUUUUUAAUAUUAAAACUCAGGUGGUAUAAGAUGAGUGUGCGUCUGAUUAGCUAGUUGGUGAGGUAACGGCUCACCAAGGCAACGAUCAGUAACUGGUCUGAGAGGAUGAUCAGUCACACGGACACUGAGACACGGGUCCGACUCCUACGGGAGGCAGCAGUAGGGAAUAUUGGACAAUGGGCGCAAGCCUGAUCCAGCCAUCCCGCGUGAAGGAUUAAGGCCCUCUGGGUUGUAAACUUCUUUUUUUUGGGAAUAAAAACCGGAAUUCAUUUCGGCUUGAAGGUACCAGAAGAAUAAGCACCGGCUAACUCCGUGCCAGCCGCCGCCGUAAGAC